rnacentral:lncRNA from 1 species
AUUUUAAAAUCUGAUUGACAUUGCUUCUUACUCUAUCAUAAAUUAAAGGACUAUAAAUACUGAGCGGUUAUUUCAUAAAUUGGUAGAAUCACUAUAAAUUCUCAACAUGUCAAGUUAAAUAGCUUGGAUUUCUUUUUAUCUGAAAUUUGAAUAACACAUGUUAAUGGAUAGCUGGUAAAAAUCAUCGACGAAACAUUUGGGGACAAUAACUUUACAAGGAAGACAGAGAAAUUUAAAAAAAAAAAUUUGGAAAAGAACUGAAAGACAUUAUUUAUACUCAACUUAUAUUGAAAUUCAACUGAAGCUGGUUGGUGUUUACACUCCGGAAUGGUCAUAGACUGUAGUCAUCAAAAUUCGUCCAUGUUUUUGUAUGGACCUUGUGAUAAAUGCCAAGAGGAACAUCCAGUGAAAUCUCCAAGAACUAAGCCAAAAAUGGGUUUGUCAGUUUCAAUGACUGAAAACAAUUCCAAAGUAACCAGAAAGGUCACAUGGGCAGAUGUAGAUGAUAUUCGGAUAUUUAACGAAGAACAUGAUGUUUUCAAGCCAGUUGUGUUAAAUAAGAACUCAAAAUCAAAAAUAGAAAACUUUAAAAAAUGUGUAAAACCAAUACUUAAACAUCGGACUACAAAUUGUGUAAUAAUUGUAUACGAGGGUGACACACAAUAGCAGUGUUGACAUUUUCACGAAUCAGAUAAGUAAAGACAGUAAUUGUGUUUUUAAUGACAUUCAUGUUUUCAAUUUUUACAGAAAAUUAACGACGCUACCUCGGCAUGGUGCUAUUUGAAUUUAUUUUUGUUAUUGUUUUAGUUUUGUGUAUUUGUUACUUAUGAUCAUCUGCACUUAAAUGUUAGUAUGCAAAUGUCAUAAAAAAAAUUUAAAAUACUCUUUAUAGUGUGUUUUAUCUUUCUUUGUCUACUACAGGCUCAGUUUUGAAAUAUUGUACCAGAAACUCCAGACAGGCUGCACAGUACAGAAAAGACAAAAACUUUUCCAACUUAUCUUUUUGUUACUUUUAUUUUGUAACAUAUAGCUAUAUUGUAACAUUAUUGUUCCAGAAAACACACAAAC